UGAAGCGCGAGCCUUGAAACCUUGACAUUGUUCCUCAUACUUCACUUCAUCUGUCAAGAAUAGUUUCUUAGUUCAAAUUGUGCCUGAAGUGUUGUAAAGUUGAAAUGGCAAGUUGAUUGAGAUGAACAUGAAUCCAUGGGCCCCACUUUUCCGCCCCCGGCUUGAACCCUCCAUCGCAUCUGUCAGUUUGAUGAAUUUGCCCCGUCAAACCGCCGGAGAAGAAUGCCUUCUUCUCCCUUCUCCUCCUCUUCCUCCUCCUCGGUUCCAAGUAGGCCCUGAUGCCUAGAAAUCUGAUGAAAAUUGGCUCCGUUUGAUCGAUGAAAUGUUCUCGGGGUCUUCAAGUACGUCCGAGGAUGUGGCUGUCUUGUGUCUUAUGCUCUUCGGACUCUCAGUGUUGGUGGGCGGUCUAAUCUAUCUACUCUGCCGAAUAUUUUGCUACGACUUUUGGGCCUCGUGUUGCUCUCGGUUCAAGGAAAAAGUGACACCUUCCCCACCGGGCUCAUCCUCCCACAAGAUGGAGAAAGGUUCCACUCACAGGAGCUUGGUCCAGAAGAUGAUGAUGAAUGCCCAGCAUAAUGAUAAGAACCGUUGGGCUAAGCGGAGGUUGAGUGAGGACUUCCUGGCUGGUCAGGAGGACGAUCAGAUUAUUUAUUCUACAGAUCCCGUGGUAGCUACCAUGCCGAAAAGGGACUCCAUAUUCAGCCAAACCUUGGCUUUGCCAGACACAUAUGGACGUCAAAACCCAUGGGGAGCUCGGCCCAAAGAGGGGCCCUAUUUCUGAAGAUCAUUCAAAUUUAAUACUUUUGACAAGUCAGUCAUGUUGACAGCCUGAUGAACUUUAUGAAUGAUUACGUUAUAGGCAGAGUGAAGUGUUGGAGAAAACGUCGAUUCUGUGUAAAUAAACCAAUCAAUGGGAACAAAAAAAAAGCUUGGCUCAAUUGAGAACACGUCUGGAUAGAUGGAAUUGGCUCAAUCUCGACGACGUUUCCUUGCAGUGGGCACGGCCUUCAAUCUCCUUUCCCAUCAAUUUCGAGAAUUGUCCCGGUCAUCGCCUCGAUUCCUGCCAAAGUGGCUCGAAGUGUCGCCAACAAAUUGGAUUCGUCGACAAGGAAUCGUUGAACUCCGCCAGGACCGCGUUGUCUCAUUUCGAAAGCAAAAGCAAAUUUGAUCUUCAUCUCCAAGUAGACCCAAUCUAGCACGCCACCUCUCUUGGGACCAAACAAGGCGCUCGUGGGGCCAUACUUGUAGUGUAGUCCCUCUUGAUUGGCCUCAAUGGCAGUUUUUGCCGCCUCAAGUACGGUCAUCUGAUCCCGAUAAUGCGGGGUCAUCUCUCUCCGAAAUCCGAAUGGAGACAAAAGUACGGUAGCGCAACAAUGGACGGUCAAGUACCCGAUCAUUUGGUAGCCUUGAUUGACGGCGCCUUUCAAUCCUUUUUGAAUGGCCAUGGACUCGGGCUCAGAGAAAGGAUGGGGUCCGUCAUAUUCCUGAGAACAAGGGUUGGAUACCCUGGAUUUAGAGCCCUGUGAAUUCAGGGCUAGGGUGUCCAAGGGGAAGUUCCGAUUCGGAUCGACCCCAAAACAAGUCCGAUUUCCUGCAAAGAAUGCGUAAUGAGAUGUUGGUUUGAAGAUUCUGGAAAUCCCCCGUACUCGAUUCGGCAUCACCUGUUUGAAAUUUUCGUCGGUUCUUUCGCCAGAGCCGAUCUACACUGUGAGAAUAUUCAUAACCAUCUGGAUUGAUCACCGGGGCCACGAAAAAUGUUACGCGACUGGUGAGGAAUUUCAAAUUUCCCGCCACUAGGAGCUGAAUGAAGUAAAUGCAGAAUGCGUGGGAAAUCCACUCGCGGCCGUGCAUCCCACAAUCAAUCCAGAUUGCCUUCUUUUGAGUAUGCACAGACGACAAAUUUGGAGUCCUUUUGUUGUUGGUGCGCCCGCUUUUUGGCCUUUGAGUCCGGUUGUUGACAACAUUCACACCAUCUUGAGCAAUUUUGAACACUUUGAUGGGUCGACCUUCGCCACUUUUCAGAAGAACUUGGUGCGUCAAAGACGGGGAUCUCCGCUCCAAAUUAUCCAAGAACUCGAACAUUUCGGUGAGGUUAUGACUUUUUCCAUGGUCAUAUCCUUGCACUUGCACUAUAACUAAUAUCAUAAAAUUCAAGACGAGUCUGUUACACAACAUGUUCGUACUAUGAGCCGUUCGGUCGAUCUACGAACGUAGGUAAAUAUAUCUAUCUAGAGGGCA